AUUGUCAUUGUCAUCAUCAUCAUCAACAUUGAAUAUUUAGGCUCAUUCAUCAUCAUUAUUCGAACAUUAUUUUUCAAUUCGUUUACAGUUUUUUGUUUUGUUUUUUUGUUUCGUUAUUUUUACACAUUACCUAACAUGGUAUGAGCUUCAAAUUAUCAUCGACGUAACGUUUUUUUAUUUAAAUAUUUUGGCUAAUAGUGAUUUGUAUAUAUCAUGAAAGACAUUUGAAAUAUACACGAAAACGGAAAGAA